rnacentral:rRNA from 1 species
UUCGCGGGGGUAGUGGGACCGCGACGGUGGCCGACCGGCCGUCGGACGGUAGUUCUGACGAAUCGCGCACGCGUUCUACACGCGUCCGGCCCGACGCAAGUCAACGUCGUAUCAUACGUCUACGCCAUAGUGCGGACGUGUGUGCGGCGCGUCUGGUGUCGCAGCCGUGCUGUCUCGGACUGUGCGCGUCUCUGUCUGCGAUGAUUCAGUUUCGGGCACUCGCAGGACCCGUCUUGAAACACGGACCAAGGAGUCUAGCAUGUAUGCGAGUCAUUGAGACAAUAAAACUGAAAGGCGCAACGAAAGUGAAGGCGCGCGCUCGCCGCGCGCUCAGGGAGGAUGGAGCUUCGAUCUAGGUCGUACUCUCGCACUCCCGAGGCGUCUCGUUUCCAAUCCGUGAAUGCAGGCGCGCUCUGAGCAUAAAUGCUGGGACCCGAAAGAUGGUGAACUAUGCCUGGUCAGGUCGAAGUCA